rnacentral:rRNA from 1 species
NNNNNNNNNNCCUGCCAGUAGUGAUAUGCUUGUCUUAAAGACUAAGCCAUGCAUGUAUCAGUACAAGCCUAACUAAGGUGAAACCGCGAAUGGCUCAUUAAAUCAGUUAUGAUUUACUGGCCGAGACAGUGAUACAUGGAUAACUGUGGUAAUUCUAGAGCUAAUACAUGCAACCGAGCCCCAGUCCGGCGCCUCGGCGACGGCGGGGCGCUUUUAUUGGCUGAAAACCGAUGUCUGCCCUCACGGGCGGUCGUUAUUCGAUGAGUCACAAUAACAUUGUGUGGAUCGUACGGUCCUGUACCGACGACGCGCCUUUCAAAUAUCUGCCUUAUCAGCUCUCGACGGUUGGCUAGUGGCUGACCGUGGCACUGACGGGUAACGGGGAAUCUGGGUUCGAUUCCGGAGAGGGAGCCUGAGAGAUGGCUACCACAUCUAAGGAAGGCAGCAGGCGCGUAACUUACCCACUCCCAGUUCAGGGAGGUAGUGACAAUAAAUACCUUACAGAGGUCUCGUUAACCGAGAUCUCUCAAACGGAAUGAGUACAACGUGAAUCCUUUAACGAGGAUCGACUGGAGGGCAAGCCUGGUGGCAGGAGGCGCGGUAAUUCCAGCUCCAGUAGCGUAUAUUAAAGCUGUUGCGGUUAAAAAGCUCGUAGUUGGAUAUCAGUGUGGUNCAGCACGACAUGCCCGGUGCGUUAUGGCGUUCUCGCGAUGACGUCCGGGCUCCCAAAUGUCGUCUGGCUACAUUCAAUGGCGUCGGACUCGGCGGCCGUACUUCGGUGGGGCCUGCCGGCGACCGGCGGUGUUACCUUGAACAAAUUAGAGUGCUCAAAGCAGGCUCUCAAUGGCUGUAUNCAUAUUCAUGGAAUUGGAGAAUACGUCCCUGGCUCGAUUUGGUUGGUUUUGAGAGUCGAAGGGAAAUNAUUAAUAGGGACUGACGGAGGCAUUCGUAUUGCGACGCGAGGGGUGAAAUCCUGUGACCNUCGCGCGACGAACUACUGCGAAAGCAUUUGCCGAGAAUGUUUUCAUUAGUCAAGAACGAAAGUUAGAGGUUCGAAGACGAUCAGAUACCGCCCUAGUUCUAACCGUAAACGAUGUCGACCAGCAAUCCGCAACGGUCACUCAAAGGACUGUGCGGGCAGCUUUCCCGGAGAAAUCAGAGUGUUCGGACUCCGGGGGAAGUAUGGUUGCAAAGCUGAAACUUAAAGGAAUUGACGGAAGGGCACCACCAGNAGUGGAGCUUGCGGCUUAAUUUGACUCAACACGGGACAACUNACCAGGCCCGGACACCGUAAGGAUUGACAGACUGAUAGCUCUCCCUUGAUNCAGUGGGUGGUGGUGCAUGGCCGUUCUUAGUUGGUGCACUGAUUUGUCUGGUUUAUUCCGAUAACGAACGAGACUCUGUCCUAUUAAACUUGAUGCCACCANUCCUUAUGUGACUGGGGUAUGCUUCUUAGAGGGAUCAUCGGCGUCCCAGCCGAAGGAAAGGGAGCAAUAACAGGUCUGUGAUGCCCUUAGAUGUUCUGGGCUGCACGCGUGUUACACUGAAGUGGUCAGCGCGCCGUUCAACGUCCCGCUCCGAGAGGAGUGGGCAAACGUUUGAACCCUUUUCGUGAUGGGAAUUGGGGGUUGCAAUUGUCCCCCAUGAACGAGGAAUUCCAAGUAAGCGCAGGUCACUAGCCUGCGUUGAUUAAGUCCCUGCCCUUUGUACACACCGCCCGUCGCUACUACCGAUGGAUGAUUUGGUGAGGUCGCCUAGACUGGCCACUGGCUUCGGCCGUGUGNCCGGGAAGACGCCCAAACUUGGUCGUCUAGAGGAAGUAAAAGUCGUAACAAGGUUUCCGUAGGUGAACCUGCGGAAGGAUCAUUA